rnacentral:snRNA from 1 species
AUGGAGUGGGACGAGCUAGCUCAGAAUCCAUUUCUUGCCUUUUACCAGAGAUGGCCGUGGCUUCGCCCAUUAAACUCCACUUAACAAUCUUUGGAAUGUCUAACAAGACACA